CCUGUGCAUGGCUUAGGAACAAAUCUCUGAAAGAAUUUUCCAUUUAUCCUGCACUUACUCUUCUAUGCAGGAUGGAAGCUUCUUGAGUCAAUUAAGAGUAUUUAUUUUGAUGAGGCCUUAACAUCCCAUAAUUAAGAGAACCUCAUGUUCACUUAAAUCAUCAUGGAACAAAACAUAACAGAAGCGGUGAUUCACUCUUUUGACAAACAUCAGGACUCCUUUACAAAUUUAUGAUGUGAAUUCCUUCUGACAUGCUUCUUUGAAGAAAAAAAAAAAGGAUCACUUGGCUAUAAAAGUGUGGAUUUAUGGACUUAUAUGACAAGAUCUCAUACCAUAAUCUGUGCUUACCUGGAUCAUCCUCUGUAGCACUGGUCAUCUUCAAUCUUGUGACAAUUCUCCUGCCUCAGCAUUUUGGGUACUGUAAUGACAAAUGUCCAACCACAACCUAUUAAUGAUGGAUAUUUAAUGCUGCUUCCAACCCUACACAACUGAUGUUCUCAUCACAAGAAGAAACAGCAUAAUUGUGUGCGUGCAGAGAAAAGACAAGUCAAACCCGGAGUCAAGUGCUAGACUCCAAAGAGAGAGAGAGAGAACUCAGAAGAUAUCAGAUCUCCUUACACAUGGCUCACCCAGCCUCAAGACAGUGAGGAAAGAGAUAUACAUGUCAGAGGAAAACUUUCAAGAGUUGGUUUUCUCGUUUUAUCUUAUGGACUCUGGGGAUUGAACUCAGAACAUCAGGCUUGAUGGUAAAUGCCUUUACCAGCUGAGCCAUCUCACAAUCCCCCUUUUUUUAAUUCUUGAGAAUUACCGCAUUGUUUACCAUAAAAAUGUGCCAAAUGAUUCCAGUAACAUUUUUUGAAAAUAUGCAAAAUAUGAAAACAAACACUGAAAAGCCUAAUUAAAAAUGGAGAAACAUAGUUAAUGA